rnacentral:rRNA from 1 species
CAGCCGCCGCGGUAAUACGUAGGUGGCAAGCGUUGUCCGGAAUUAUUGGGCGUAAAGGGCUCGAGGGCAGUUUCUUAAGUCUGAUGUGAAAGCCCCCGGCUCAACCGGGGAGGGUCAUUGGAAACUGGGAAACUUGAGUGCAGAAGAGGAGAGUGGAAUUCCACGUGUAGCGGUGAAAUGCGUAGAGAUGUGGAGGAACACCAGUGGCGAAGGCGACUCUCUGGUCUGUAACUGACGCUGAGGAGCGAAAGCGUGGGGAGCGAACAGGAUUAGAUACCCCGGUAGUCCCUGUCUCUUAUAA